AUAACAUAUAUUCCAAAAUUCUAGCUGAGCAUAUAAACGUAUACCUUAUAUCGUUGAUGACCAAUGCAGACUUAUACGUUGGAAUAAAAGAAAUGGAUUCCAUAAUACAAAAUUAUGACAAUAUUGUAAGCAAAAUAUUAAUUCGCAAAUAUCAAAUCGAAAGACAGAGACAGUAUUUUGAAAGUUUAUUUGUCUAAUGUGUGGGUGUAAAAAGAAAAUUGCAGCUUUGCAUACGUGGACAUACAUCAUAUGAAUAAUUUUUUAUAUUGUAUAUACUAUUUAUUUUACUACUUUAAUUAUUAUUUAUUUAUAUGUUUUACUAUUUGAUGCCUCCGCAUUUACAAAACUUUAUGACUGCAUGCGUCAAGUUUUACAUUUUUCUUUUGCGAUCUUGCUUGAUAUAGGUGAAAUAUAUAUUAUU